rnacentral:misc_RNA from 1 species
AACACUGUUAACCUGCGGUACCUGCGGAGGGAUCAUUACCGAGUUUACAACUCCCAAACCCAAUGUGAACCAUACCAAACUGUUGCCUCGGCGGGGUCACGCCCCGGGUGCGUCGCAGCCCCGGAACCAGGCGCCCGCCGGAGGGACCAACCAAACUCUUUACUGUAGUCCCCUCGCGGACGUUAUUUCUUACAGCUCUGAGCAAAAAUUCAAAAUGAAUCAAAACUUUUAGCAACGGAU